AGGAUGAACGCUGGCGGCGUGCUUAACACAUGCAAGUCGAACGAUGAUCCCCGCUUGCGGGGGGAUUAGUGGCGAACGGGUGAGUAACACGUGAGUAACCUGCCCUUGACUUUGGGAUAAGCCUGGGAAACUGGGUCUAAUACCGGAUAUUGACUUCCCUCCGCAUGGUGGGUGGUUGAAAGCUUUUGCGGUUUUGGAUGGACUCGCGGCCUAUCAGCUUGUUGGUGGGGUAAUGGCCUACCAAGACUCCGAUGGGUAGCUGGCUUGAGAGAGCGACCAGCCACACUGGAACUGAGACACGGUCCAGACUCCUACGGGAGGCAGCAGUGAGGAAUUUUCCGCAAUGGGGGAAACCCUGACGGAGCGACGCCGCGUGUGGGAAGAAGGCCUUCGGGUCGUAAACCACUGUCGAGGGGGACGAUAUUGACGGUACCCCUGGAGGAAGCCCGGCCAACUACGCGCCAGCAGCCGC
rnacentral:rRNA from 1 species